GGCGGGUACAGGCUCAGGGACAGGCAGAGAGGUAAGGUGGGCGGGUACAGGCUCAGGGACAGGCAGAGAGGUAAGGUGGGCGGGUACAGGCUCAGGGACAGGCAGAAAGGUAAGGCGAGCGGGUACAGGGUCGGGACAGGCAGAGGUCAAAAACCAGGAGGCUGAGAAAAGAGAGGCAGGGAAAAAGACAGGAGCUGACAGGAAAACCACUGGUAAGCUUGAACGAACAAGACGAACUGGCAACAAACAGAGAACACAGGUAUAAAUACACAGGGGAUAAUUGGGAAGAUGGGCGACACCUGGAGGGGGGCGAGACAAGCAAAGGUGAAACAGAUCAGGGCAUGACAGUUUUGCACCAAGUCUCUUGCACUGGCUAGAUGUACACUCACUGGACUCUAACCACACACAUACUACAAUGACACUCUAACACACACACACAGACAGACACACACAUUCCGUCCUUCACACUAAUCACACACGCUACUGCUACUCUCUGUUUAUUUUCUAUGCAUAGUCACUUUACCCCUACCUACAUGUACAUAUUACCUCAACUAACCCGUACCCCUGCACAUUGACUUGGUACCCCUUGU
ensembl:lncRNA